rnacentral:misc_RNA from 1 species
UAGCUUUUCCUUAAUUCACUCCCAUCUAUUUCCUUCUUCGGAAGACUCCUUUCCCACUGAAACACAAAAUUAAGGUGUUUCAAGAUUUAUCCAAAUUAUUUCUAACAAUGAGUCCAACAAUUAAGUUUUUAUAUACUAAUUUCACUCAUAAGGUUUCAUAAGUCAAGUUCUUUGUGUUUUUUAUUAUGGUGAUUACUAUUCAUUUG